AUUAGUGUGGAUAUUUGUUUUCGUGUUUCUGCUUCCAGGUGCCAAGUGUGAUAUCCAGAUGACCCAGUCUCCAUCUUCACUGUCUGUGUCUCUAGGAGACACUGCCACCAUCACUUGCAGGGCCAGUGAGGACAUUGGGUAUACUUUAGCCUGGUACCAGCAGCAACCAGGGAAAGCUCCUAAAAUCUUUAUAUAUUGUGCAGAUAGUUUGGAGUCCGGAGUUCCAUCAAGGUUCAGUGGGAGUAAAUCUGGGACGGAGUUCACUCUCAGGAUCAGUGGCCUGGAGCCUGAAGAUGUAGCCACUUAUUACUGUCAACAGUAUAGCAGUUACCCUCCCACAGUGAUAGAAGGCAUAACAAAAACAGCCCAGGGAAGCUGACAUGUGAGUCUGGGCUGCCCCAGCUGCUCCUCCUGCUGC